AAGUCGUAACAAGGUUUCCGUAGGUGAACCUGCGGAAGGAUCAUUAUUGAGAUAAGGGUCUUUUAUAGGCCCGAACCUCCAACCCUGUGUCUAUCAUACCACGUUGCUUCGGCGGGCCCGUCUGAAAUAUGACCGCUGGGAGGUCUUCAUACCCCUCCUGGCCUGCUGUCCGCCGAUGGCCAAAAUACAUAAUUCUCUGAUAUAAUCACGUUUGUCUAAGUCUAAAACAAAAAAAUUUAAAACAAAAACUUUCAACAACGGAUCUCUUGGUUCUG
rnacentral:misc_RNA from 1 species